UAUGACCGAAAGCAUGAAGCAGGACAAAGUUCAACCGAGUGACGUGGAGUAAGACUGAGAUAAAAGAGAUCAGAUUCUGAGAACAAUUGCGUAUCUAUCUUCGGUCAGAAAUAGCAAGUCCCGGGCAUUAUUGCCGUGAGGUAAUGCUUGAGACAAGAAAUGCUCAUUGUAUUUGUAAGAGAGGUGUUAAUUUGUCUAUUAUCAUGUGCUAUGGGGUAUAAUUGGCACCAAUAUAGAACCAUGCUGCUUUUUG
rnacentral:lncRNA from 1 species